GGGGCGGCGCAGGUCCGAGGGCGGCGGGGCUCCGGCCGGUGGUGGCUCCGGCGAGUGCACGGGGGAGCCCGGGGAGGCAGACCGAUGGCCUGCCAUGGAGGUGCUCCAGAGGAGUUGCGGGAGCCUCGUGCCCAAAUGGGCUCGGGCGGGCCCAACGCGGGCUCCGCGGGCCCGACGGCUGGAGGUGGGAGAGAGAGGCUGCUGGGGGAGAUGGCGGCUAGGGUUUGAGGGGUGCACGGAAAACGAGACACGGGGCUCCUGUCUAAAAAGAGGCACGGGGGGUCUAUAUAUAUAGACAAACGGGGGCUAGGGUUAUUCGAAUUUGGCCCCGUUUUCGCCCACGGGUUCAUGAACGGAUGGCCACAGACGUGGGAAUGGAUACAUGACCGUGUAGAGGGGAUAUCCGGGGACGAUAGGGAGAACGGGCGGUGCGGCAACGAGAUUUUAACACACCGAAAAAAACGUCCGACGGUAGACCGAAUACGGUGCCGCUACGGUCGACCGUUCAGGUACCACACGGACUCCGAUCGCGACGAAAUUCGACAGGCGGACUAGCUAUAACUAAUUACGACCGCAUGCCAAGUUUCACCCCGAUCAGAGAAAGUUUUUAAACGCACUUUUAAAACAGGGUUUGACGAUGCCGCGGGCGCGUGCGUGUGCGGUCGGGUUCAGAACGGACAACGACGCGAACCGCCAACUAACAACGGAUGCAAGUUUUGAAAACGGGCGGCAACGGGAUGCCGAUGCAAUGCUGAUGAUGCGACAAAAGAAAAAUAGACACACGACAAAAACGGAAAGAAGGGGAAUCUUCUGGAACGCCGGCAUCGGGCUGUCACAUAGGUAGACUAGUCCCACAUCUGGUAGAUGGGGGUGUGUCUAUUCUACAAUAUGCUGAUGACACUAUUCUCUUCAUGGAGCAUGAUCUAGUGAAGGCUAGAAAUUUAAAGCUCAUCCUUUGCCUAUUUGAGCAGUUAUCGGGGCUGAAGAUUAAUUUCAAUAAAAGUAAGUUGUUUUGUUUUGGUGAAGGCAAAAACCAACAACACAAUUACAAUCAGCUGUUCGGGUGUGAAACUGGGGAUUUACCUUUUACGUAUUUAGGAAUUCCCAUACAUCACCGUAAACUCUCCAAUAAAGAGUGGAAAUGCAUAGAGGAGCAAUUUGAAAAGAAACUUAGUAGUUGGAAAGGUAAGCUCCUUUCCUACGAAGGUAGAUUAGUGCUUGUUAAUUCAGUAUUAACGAGUAUGCCUAUGUUUCUCCUAUGUUUUUUUGAGGUACCUGUGGGGGUGCCAAAAAGAUUGGAUUUCUAGCGUUUCCGUUUUUUUCUAGCAAAGUGAUGAGGUUACAGCUAAAUAUAGGUUGGCUAAAUGGGACAUUAUCUGUCGGCCUAAAGAACAAGGGGGUUUAGGUAUCAAAAAUUUAGAGACAAAAAAUAGAUGUCUUCUUAGCAAGUGGUUGUUUCGACUAUCUAUGGAGUCCGAAGGGAUGUGGGUACAAAUUUUGAAGAACAAGUACCUUCAUUCCAACUCUUUAUCUAAGGUUACGGCUAGACCACUAGAUUCGCCUUUCUGGAAAGGUCUGAUGCGGGUGAAAAACUCUUUCUUCAACAGAACGAGGGCUAUCAUUGGUAAUGGUGAAGCAACUAGAUUCUGGGAAGAUUCCUGGCUAGGAGAAUCGCCUCUUUUACUUUUUCACCGGCCUUUUUUAGUUGUAUGUCUCUUUUUCUUGGGAAGAUUCGGGUAUAUACUAUAUGGAAAAUUAUCGCUGUCAGCCGGCUGAUUUUUUUGGUUGCUUCGGCCUCCUCCCACUGAUGACACGUGUGCCAGUGGGUUUGUCAACCGCUUUUACAUGUUACCUUAUCUUCUCCUUCGACUACUCUCCUCCACAUCUUUUUUGCUCAUGCCUUCUUCCUUUUAGCCAUCCAGCCUCAUACAUCACACAUGCAAGCAAUCGAGUAGUUAGCUGUCAUGGAGACACGCACAAACUGCUCCAGCUUGUGCCCACCGGCCAUGGCCCCGACAAGCGACGGGGAUUGGCGGCGCUCAGGACGAGAGCUCAAAGGUGGAGGUAGGAUACGAGCUGGCCUACCGACUCAGACGGACGGUAUUUUUCAAAAAGACGAAAAAAAAACUGUUUCAGAAAGUCGAGUUGUCUCAGGAAUUACCGGGUGCCCAGCCGAAGCGCGCGCGAAGAAAAAAAGACUGCAACAAAGCGAUUGUUUCAGAAACUCGAGUGUUGUCUCAGGAAUUACCGGGUGCCCAUCCGAAGCGCGCGCGAAGAAAAAAACUGCAACAAAGCGAUUGUUUCAGAAACUCGAGCGUUGUCUCAGGAAUUACUGGAUGACCAGCCGAAGCACGUGAAGAAAAAAAACCUGCAACAAAGCGAUUGUUUCAGAAACUCGAGCGUUGUCUCAGGAAUUACCGGGUGCCCAGCAGAAGCGCCCGCGAAGAAAAAAAAACUGCAACAAAGCGAUUGUUUCAGAAACUCGAGUGUUGUCUUACGAAUUACCGGGUGCCCAGCCGAAGCGCCGCGCGACCACAGUCUAGACACGCCCGCACCACCUCCUCCCCACCGGCCGCAACACGCCCGCACCACCUCCUCUCCACCGGCUGCUGCACGCAGGCCUCCUCCCCGUCGUCUUCCGCACGCAUGCCUCCUCCCCGUCUGCCGCCCCGACCAGGAGCGGCUCAUCUCCCCGACCGCGGCGCCUGAGCCUUCAAAGAUCGCGCGGCGCAGGCAGUAGCGGUUGCCCCCUUCCUGGACGAUCACUUGGUAAGCCUCCCUCUCCUCCCCUCCCCUCCCGUGAUUGCUUCCUUCCCGUGAUCUCGAUUUUCUGCUUGUUUGGUUUUGUGGGGAAUUGCUAUUUGUGCCCAAAUUUUAGGGGAAAAUUUCAGUGAUGUCAAUCAGGUCGGCUCUAGGUUUUAAUUGGUGCGGAUUCUCCCUCUAGCUUGGUGGAUCUCGUGAUUCAAGUUAUGUUACUUAGCCAUCCAUGAUCUCUCGCAGGGUUCCCUGCUUUCUAUAGCCUAGCUUGUUUCUUUAGUUAUGAGGGCUGCUGUAGUAAUGUGUUCUUCGUGUAUGUUCAAGGUUACUGCUGUUGGUGCGGUCCAGUGAGCCGAGAGAAGGUACUACUAUGUUACUGCUGUUGGCAGCAGGUGUAGGUGCAGACCCCAUCGUCUGAUAGUCUGAUUCCCAGCAAGAAAAGGUACUACUAUAUUCGAUGGAUGGUACUGUGCUCAUCUCUGGACGAAUAAUAAAAUGCUCUGAAUUUCUGUAUUUGACGUGCUACUUUGGUUCAUGCAUACACUCCUGUUUGAUGCUAGCAUAUGCUUUCUCUUUAUGUCCCAAGGCUCGUGGUUAGAAAAGUAAUCACAACACUUGUUUGGAUUUGAUGAUGGAGAUAACGGAGACUGGUGCAUAUGUUGUUUCUUUGUCUAAUAUACUCUGCUGGUUUAAAUCUGAUUCUAUAUGUUUAAAUGGUUUGGUUUUUUCCCAUGCAGUGUGUUCUAAAAAUUUGAGGAAUGUCUACCUCAGAGGGUUCUGAGACUGCAUAUUCCAUGAAUGAGGAUACGAGUCAAGUACCACAUGCUAGAAGGUCCAAAGUAUGAGAGCACUAUAAACAAGAACUGGUUGUCGUAGAAGGAGACCCCAAGGCCGUGUGCAAAUACUGUCAGGGCAAUUUCACACCAAGUUUGGGACUAGUAGUUUGAGAACCCAUAUUGCAGAGGCUUGCCGAUCAAUUGAGGAUGCUUGCAGGAAGAGGUUCCUAUUGACCAUGAAAAAAAAGCCAUCCGAAGGCCUGUUAGUGUUUGAUGAAAAAGUUAGUCAUGAACUAAUGGUCAAGUUUUGCAUCCAUGCUGAGAUCCCCUUUCUUAAGUUUGAAGAUCCACACCUUCAGCCAUGGAUUGACUCAUUGCAGCCAGCAUUUCAAAUAAGGGUUGUCACACGAUUCAUGAUGAUGCACUGAAGAUGUAUAAGGGAAUGAAGAAAGAUAUCAAAGUUGAGCUUCAAAAUUUGGACUCCCGCAUUCGUUUAACAUCUGACAUGUGGACAUCAUCAUAGAAUUUGGGCUACAUGUCCAUCACCGCCCAUUAUAUCGAUGCAGAAUUCAACUACAAGAAGAAGAUCAUAAGUUUCACAGACGUGAAGUAUCCCCACACAAGCUGUGCAAUAGAAGAAGAAAUCAUUGGUUGCUUAACAGAAUGGGGCAUAAGGGGCAAGCUAUUCACUUUGACACUAGAUAAUGCGAGUAAUAACACUAAUGCAUGUGACGAGUUAAUAAAGUAUCACAAGCAUGAGCUGCUCCUUGAAGGUCAACAUUUGCAUGUCAGGUGUUGUGCACACAUUCUUAAUAUCUUGAUUCAGGAUGGAAUGAAAAUAUUCAUGAGCUGCUCCAUGAAUAAUUUCCAAAGUUUAAUAUGGUUUUGUAUUGGGUUUAAACCCAUAGUUAUGUAUUGGGUUUAAACUGGUAAGGGUGAGGAAAAUAUUUGGUUUAGUUUGGUUGGGCUGAAAAUGGUAUUAAAAGGUUAUGGUUCAGGUUUGAUUUUGUUACAUACUUGUAUGGGUAUGGUUUAGUUAUGAACCCGUUCCCAGAUUUACCUAUGUGAGGAUGAUAUCACCGCUACGCUGCUAGGGCUUACUAACAAACAAUUGGAAAAAUAGUAGACAGGAAAUUUGUAAGAAAAAACAAAAAAGAGAAAAAUGAGAGAAAAGCCAAAAAAUAAACAGGAAAGAAUAAAGUCUUACGAUAAACAAAAACAUAUUUUAUUUUUUGAAAAAAAUCCGAUCAGGAACUGUCGAAGCAAUCACAACAACAAUAUCAAGAUUUCUCAACGAAAUUAGCGGGAACUACUAUUUUCACAUGUAUGGCUACGGACGUUAUUCUUUACCUAUUAAUAAAGCACAUAUUGCUUCUGUGGUACGUCAUGAAAAUUGCCACUGAAUUUUUGCAUAAAUUACCCACCAUUGCCACCGGUAAGUAAUAGAAAACGUUUCACAAAGCGAAAAAUCUUGGACUGGGCCGGCCCAUGUAAAAACCUCCUAUAUACGCUCUGCACCCUGGGAGAAUAUCUAGCAAACCGUAUGAGCCAGCCCAUACACAUGCGUCAGUUUUUUUAGUUCCGUUUAUUUAUUUAUCUUCAGUUUUAUUUUAUUUUUCUAUUUUAAAUAAUUUAUAACUUUGAAUAUCCUUUAAAAUUUUAAUAAACUUAAAAUUUUAAAUCAACAUAUUUUAAAAAAUAAAAUGUUUGGGACUUCAAAAACUGCUCGGAGUUUUUGUAAAAAUGCUCGCAUAUACAAUAAAAUGUUUGCAAGUUUGAAAAAAUGUUUGUAAAAUAAGAAAAGUCCAUGAUUCAAAUCAAACUCCAUGUAUUAAAAAUUAUUAAAAACAUUUAACAAAAUGCUUUCUAAUUCAAAAUAUGGUAAUGCAUUUAAAAAAUGUCCUAAAAUUUUAAAAAUAUCUAAUGCCUGUUUUGAUAGUUUCUUUUUAUUUAAAUUUUUCCGUUCCAUUUUUGUUUACUUCUAAUUUAAAUAAUUUGGAAUUAUAAAAGCAUUUCCAUAUUAGGAAAUAGGAAUUUUGAAUUAAAAUGUUCACGAAAACAUAAAAUGUUUGUGGAUUCACAAAAGGCGCAGGAUUUAUUUUUUUUGCAAAUUCCAAAACAAUGUCCGUGAAUUUAAUAAAUAUAUUACUGACUUAUAAAAAUGUUUGUUUAUUCAGAAAAACCGCAUGCGUUUCAAAAAUGUUUGUGAAUUUAAAGUAAAAUCCUCCAACAUAAAAAAUUAUGUUCGUCUUUUCUAGAAUUGAUCGCCAAUUCAAGAAAAUAUUGAAACCCGUUUGAAAUAUAAAAAAAUAUUCACGAUUUUUAGUAAAUGCUUGUAAAUUGUAAAAAAUGUUCUCGAUUUUAAAAUUGUUCUCAUAUUUGUAAAAUUGUUCAUGAAAGAUCUAAUGUAUGUAGUUAAACAUUAAUGCUUCUAAGUCUUUGUGAAAAUAUACCCGUGUGAUUUUUGAAGAAUUAACUGUUGGAUGGAUCGGAUUAUUAUUGUAUGUUUUCUAAAAAAAAUCUUGAAAUUAAGAAUAAUUCUUUGAGUUACCAAGAUUUUUGACAACCAUGAUUUUUUUUUUGAAAAUGUAAAGAUUGCUUCAACUUGUGAAUAAAUUUAAAAUAAGAAACAUUUCUUGCAUUUGUGCACAAAAUUUAAAAUCAAACGAUGAUGUGUGAACAUAAUAUGAUCAUCAUCAUUGAAGAUUAUGUUUUUUUCUCCCGUUGCAACGCACGGACUAUUUUGAUAGUAUAUAUAUAAGUAUGUUAGAUCAAUAUGUAAUAUUCCAUAAUCAAAGCCCUCGAUGCCAAGGCUGAUCCUCGCAACAGACCAACGCUUGCUCGAGUCUAGUCUUUGUUUCAUCUAGUAUAUUACCAUAUAUGAUUUCUUUAUUUAUUAAACCCGAGUUACAUGUUAAGUUGUGUUCGACUUAAGUAUAUAAGUAACACUCGCCCUUAAUUAUAAUUCCAACCGUAUGCUACUCAUACAUAUUUUUGAGGUAAAAAAAUGCAACCAUCAUGCUGAUUAUAUGUCUAAUCUAACUGUGUAUCUUUGUGUCGUGGAAGUCUGCCUUCUUACAGUCUAGAGAGAACAUGUUUGGGAACAAACGUUGUAUGUAUAUAAAACUAAAGAAUCUUUAUUAACUAAUCCUUCAAAUUGUAUAUAAAAAAGAUCAAGGUCGCAUAUCCAAUUAGUCGAGUAUACACACGUAUACUCGCUAAUAAUGAUUCCUUGACUAUACAUAAAAUAUGCAUGUGCGUGGGGCGACAACAUGUACUCAAGCCAUGAUACCGGCAAAGGCAAGCAAGACGGCGAGGCCAAACCCCGUGGCCUCCACAGAGUUGGCGGUAGAGACAGGCGUGGGCGGAGGAGCGUUGCUUGCACUGGGGCCGCUGGCUGGGGCGGGCGAGGAGGAGGAGGAGCCAGGCACGACGUCGAUCUUGACCUUCAUGCCACCAGUGCAGUGGCCAGGAAACCCACAGAUGAAAUAGCGUGUGCCGGUGGCGUUGAGCGUGACGAUGUCGUUCCCGGUGUUGAGGGUGGCAAUGGGGUUGGCGGUGCUGCAGGAGUCAUAGUCGGCCUUGCUGACCUCAAGGACGUCGUGCGCUUGAGGGGAGUACUUGAAGACGAUCUGGUCGCCGGGUUGGAACUUCCUAGAGGACGCCCAGGUGUCGUAGUUGGUGCUGAGGUCCCACGCACCACCCGGUUCGCCAACGUUGUAGAUCGCCGCCGACGCGGUGCUCAGGACGGCCAUCACGGCCACCAUGAGGAGGCUGAGUCUGAUGGCAUCCAUAGCAGUUGGAACUUGAAGGAAGGCAAGGAGAGCUAGGUGAUGAGGUGUAAGCCGUGUCCUGUGUUGAUCCUCAAACCGAGAUUGUGUUGCUUCCAUAAGUGUUUGUGCCUGGUGUAUAUAUAUACAUCACAACCUAUACCCAGGUCGGUUGACGAAACGUGUGCGCUAGGUGAAAACAUGCCCAGACUUUCAAUGUUUUACGUGGGAACACAAGCUGCUACGUACUUGGUCAUAAUAAUCGACAGAAGAUUUGGUGACCGGGCUGUGCUGUUGGCCUGCUGACCUUUUCACGCGUCCUCAUGGAGCCAUCGCCGUCUGCUCCAAUAUCGACACGGUCUACGCUCCAAGACGUUGACCAUCUUCGCAAUUCACAAAUCUUCUAGAAAGUAGAUCGAAUGAUACAGCUCCAUUUUAACUCCAAAUUAUCAUAUCUAAAUAAAUAAAUAAAUAAAAUUCCGGGGAAUGAAAUAAAUAAAAACUUUCUCUGCUAAAAUUUCAAGCUUCCAAUUGGCUGCAUCCCACGGCACAACUAAUAAUAUGCUAGCUUUCGAAUUUCAAGUUUCAACUAAUAAUAUGAGGAGGAGCCAGCCACCACACCAUCCACGCGGCCAUGGCCGGUAGGUGCCCGCACCCGAGGUCAGCCCACAAGCAUCACAGCUCCCACCACCCGGGCCACCUAAUGUCCCAUAGGUCGUCCAUGACUGCGAGCAAUGAACCGACCGGCAAGCUUCAACCGUUGACAGAGCCGCCAACGACCGAAAAGUCCAGAUUGAUCGGGGAGCCAUCGAGUCGGAGAAGAGCUGGCAUAGAGCCAAUCACCCCGCCAACAUACCGCGUCGGCCUGCCCUACCAUCAUGAGAGCAUCUCUAACCGCAACGUAAAAAAUCCGCGUCCAAUAAUUUUUUUUAAGGCAUCACUGUAGCACUUUUAAAGCGCGGGGACCGAAGCAUCUCCAACCGACGCGCGCUAGUGCGGCGCCCAAUCCAACCCGAUCCAGCGGGUCCAUCCUUAGCAGCUCAGAGUUUGCUGAGCGCACCAAAUAUCCUGCUGUUGGCCUGCUGACCUUUUCACGAGUCCUCAUGGAGCCAUUGCAGUCUGCUCCAAUAUCGACACGGUCUACGCUACAAGACGUUGACCAUCUUCGCUAUUCACAAAUCUUCUACGUAGAAAGUAGAUCGAAUGAUACAGCUCCAUUUUAACUACAAAUUCUCCUAUCUAAAUAAAUAAAAACUUUUUUCCUAGGGAUAAAAUAAAUAUCACCGCUGCCACCACCCCGAGCCGUCUGUCGGCACCAGGGCAAGAUCCUAGCGGAGCAUGCAUAAUCGAGCCCACUAGGAACCCGAUAUCCACGCCACCUGAGCCAGGCAGGGUAUUGUUUUUUUUCUAUGCUUCGACCAUACCUGGCUAGUAAAGCUGAACCAAAUUCCAGCACUCUCAUGAUAUGGGUUUGUCUGCCCACUCGUUCGCUUGAUUUAGGCAAUCUUGAUCGUCGGUUUUGUUGUCUAUUCCGGCCUACACCGCACGAUAUAUUUCAUGUCCCUUCUAUUCUAAAGGGUUUGCUGCUCCAAGGGAUAAGUCGGUGGCAUAUGGUUAACUGGGCCUUUUCCCGAAGCAAACGGUCGUCCCAGUCACAAUAUAUCCCAAAAAAAGGAAGACGGGCGAGAGAGAGCUCUUUCUCGUGAGGAAGGGGAAGGGCAUCGGUCAGUGGCGACAGGAAGGUGAUUUGAUGCGAUAGAUAUUGAGAGUUGAAAAGGGGAAUGGGAUGGAUUGAUCUACGAGGGAUGGCGGAUUGUACCAACCUCUCUUUCCCUCUCCAUCCCCUCCCCCCCCUCUCUCUCUCCCUNNNNNNNNNNNNNNNNNNNNNNNNNNNNNNNNNNNNNNNNNNNNNNNNNNNNNNNNNNNNNNNNNNNNNNNNNNNNNNNNNNNNNNNNNNNNNNNNNNNNACUGCUAAGCUCAAAAUGUAUAUAUGGAGUACAUAAAGUAUUCUAAAAAAUUAUGAUGAAUACAUGACUCUGCAACUUAAAUACAUGAAAAACUCCAACUAUAGGAUACUCAUUCACAUAUUCAACACAAAUCAAACAAUGAUAUUACAUGUAUAAUCUAUGUGUAUAUGCAUUUUUCCGUGUUUCAAGUCAAUGUUGGAGAAAUCUAAAUCUGGCUCUACUUGCAGUAUUGAUCAAAUUGUUUCAGGUAAAAUACUGUGUAAAAAUGCGGAGCCUCGAUACAUACAACAUACCCUAUAAUUACUACACUUUAGAAUAUACGCAUAUAUGGUAGCUAGUAAUCGCUACUUCUAAUAUGGAAAUUGCACGUGUAUGCCGUUGCAAAUUACAUUCAAGACAUGAGGCCGGCAACAAUAAGUAAGAUGGCGAGCCCAAACCCUGUGGUGGCCACAGAGGUGGCGGCUGAGACAGGCACCGGCGGGGGAGCGUUACUUGCACUGGGACCGCUGGCCGGGGCAGGCGAGGAAGAAGAGGAGCUCGGCACGACAUCGAUCUUCACCUUCAUUCCCCCGGCGCAGUGGCCCGGGAAGCCGCAGAUGAAGUAGCGGGUACCGGUGGCCGUGAGGGAGACGACAUCAUUCCCGGAGUUGNNNNNNNNNNNNNNNNNNNNNNNNNNNNNNNNNNNNNNNNNNNNNNNNNNNNNNNNNNNNNNNNNNNNNNNNNNNNNNNNNNNNNNNNNNNNNNNNNNNNUGGAAAUUGCACGUGUAUGCCGUUGCAAAUUACAUUCAAGACAUGAGGCCGGCAACAAUAAGUAAGAUGGCGAGCCCAAACCCUGUGGUGGCCACAGAGGUGGCGGCUGAGACAGGCACCGGCGGGGAGCGUUACUUGCACUGGGACCGCUGGCCGGGGCAGGCGAGGAAGAAGAGGAGCUCGGCACGACAUCGAUCUUCACCUUCAUUCCCCCGGCGCAGUGGCCCGGGAAGCCGCAGAUGAAGUAGCGGGUACCGGUGGCCGUGAGGGAGACGACAUCAUUCCCGGAGUUGAGGGUGGCGAUUGGGCUGGCGGUGCUACAAGAGUCGUAGUCGGCCUUGCUGACCUCGAGGACGUCGUGUGCCUGAGGAGAGUAUUUGAAGACGAUCCGGUCGCUUGGGUGGAAGUUCCUGGAGGACGCCCAGGUGUCGUAGUUGGUGCUGAGGUCCCAUGCACCACC
rnacentral:lncRNA from 1 species